rnacentral:rRNA from 1 species
UGCGUAGGCGGAUUAAUAAGUCAGUGGUGAAAUCUUUCGGCUCAACCGAGAAACUGCCAUUGAUACUGUUAAUCUUGAGUUCAGUUGAGGUAGGCGGAAUGUGUAAUGUAGCGGUGAAAUGCUUAGAUAUUACACAGAACACCAAUUGCGUAGGCAGCUUACUAGACUGACACUGACGCUGAGGCACGAAAGCGUGGGGAGCGAACAGGAUUAGAUACCCUGGUAGUC